rnacentral:rRNA from 1 species
AGCGAACGCUGGCGGCAGGCUUAACACAUGCAAGUCGAGCGGGCAUCCUUGUGGUGUCAGCGGCAGACGGGUGAGUAACGCGUGGGAACGUGCCCUUCGGUUCGGAAUAACUCAGGGAAACUUGAGCUAAUACCGGAUACGUGCGAGAGCAGAAAGGUUUAUCUGCCGAAGGAUCGGCCCGCGUCUGAUUAGCUAGUUGGUGAGGUUACGGCUCACCAAGGCGACGAUCAGUAGCUGGUCUGAGAGGAUGAUCAGCCACACUGGGACUGAGACACGGCCCAGACUCCUACGGGAGGCAGCAGUGGGGAAUAUUGGACAAUGGGGGUAACCCUGAUCCAGCCAUGCCGCGUGAGUGAUGACGGCCUUAGGGUUGUAAAGCUCUUUUCUCCGGGACGAUAAUGACGGUACCGGAGGAAUAAGCCCCGGCUAACUUCGUG